rnacentral:lncRNA from 1 species
CGGCAGUGGAGGCCGCUCCCUGUUGCCGGGUUCCCGGCCCGAGCUGCGAGAGUUAGACGUGCUCCGAGGUAGGCGCGGGAAAGCGGCUCCUUGGUAGCGGGAGCAUUAGCCCUAGGAAUGAAAAUUGGGCGCCGAACCGAUGCCCGAGACCGUAGGACCCCUGCCUUCCAGCGUCCGCUGCAGCCUGAGAAGGCAGGCGGUCAUCAGCAGAUAUAAUUAGCUAAGAUGAGGUCAUACUGGAUUAAGAUGGGUCCUGAAUCCAACGACUGGUGUCCUUAUAAGAAGGUCGUGUGAAGACACAUAAGAGAGACACACGGAGGAGGACGCCAUGUGAAGAUGGAAGCAGAGAUUGGAGUGAUGCGUCUAAAGCCAAGGAAUGCUGAGAAUUACUGGCGACCUCCAGAAGCUGAGAGAGGAGCAUGGAACAGAUUUUCCCUCAGAGACUCUAGUAGGAACCAACCCUGCUGACACCUUCAUUCAGACUUCUGGCCUCCUGAACUUCGUAGAACUCCUGAUUCUAGCUGGGCACGUGGCCACCAAAUAAAGAUUACAGCUUCCUUUGCAGCUAGUAAACCGGUACAUGACUAAGUUCCAGGAAUGGAAUGGACUUGGAAGUGCC